rnacentral:rRNA from 1 species
AGAACGAACGCUGGCGGCAUGCCUAACACAUGCAAGUCGAACGAGACCUUCGGGUCUAGUGGCGCACGGGUGCGUAACGCGUGGGAAUCUGCCCUUGGGUUCGGAAUAACAGUUAGAAAUGACUGCUAAUACCGGAUGAUGACGUAAGUCCAAAGAUUUAUCGCCCAGGGAUGAGCCCGCGUAGGAUUAGCUAGUUGGUGAGGUAAAGGCUCACCAAGGCGACGAUCCUUAGCUGGUCUGAGAGGAUGAUC